rnacentral:rRNA from 1 species
AUGGCCAGGGAACCCUCGGUGCUCUUUUUGCAGGGAGUUGAAACCUCUAAGCACCUCUUUUUCACUUGCCCUGUUGCCAGGGUUGUUUGGAGGUCUAUUGGGGUGGUGCUAGGCACUGAUAUGUGUCCCAAUAACUAUUGGCAAUAUUUUGUCUGGUGUAGCAAAUUUCUUCCUGGCAAAGAAAACUUCUAUACCGUGGGCCUAGCUGCUACUUGUUGGGCCAUAUGGUUGGCGCGUAACCGAGCUACUUUUGAGAAAAAACAGAUUAAGACUCCUUUUGAGAUUGUUUUCUCCCUCUGCUCGUUUCUACUAUAUUGGACAGGAUUACAGAAAGGAGAAGCGGCUGGAGAACUUCGCGCAGGUGCAGAGAUGAUCAGGAACAGCACGCUGCAGCUGAUGCGACUGUGUGACACUGCCAAGCAAACGAUUCAGACGUGA